rnacentral:rRNA from 1 species
GUUUACAGCCACGCCACCCUGGACACACCUGAUCUCGGAAGCUAAGCAGGGUCGAGCCUGGUUAGUACUUGGAUGGGAGACCACCUAGGAAAGGAAUACUUGGUGCUGUAGGCA